AUCGCUUCUUGGCCUUUUGGCUAUGAUCAAGUGUAGCAUCUGUUCUUAUCAGUUUAGUAAGAAUGACAGUUCCCGUCGUGAUCUUGUCUACCGAUCCCCCUCAAAAGAGCUCUCCAAUUUGGUCCUGAAACACCCCUGUAAAGAUAAGGUGGGUACGUUUAUCUCAUUUUCUACAGGAGAAAACUAAU